rnacentral:rRNA from 1 species
UACGGAGGGGGCAAGCGUUGAUCGGAAUUACUGGGCGUAAAGCGUGCGCAGGCGGUUGCGUAAGUCAGAUGUGAAAGCCCCGGGCUCAACUGGGGAGGGUCACUCGAUACUGCUCGACUUGAAGGCAGGAGAGGGAAGCGGAAUUCCCGGUGUAGUGGUGAAAUGCGUAGAUAUCGGGAGGAACACCAGUGGCGAAGGCGGCUUCCUGGACUGUUCCUGACGCUGAGGCGCGAAAGCGAGGGGAGCAAACGGG